ACUGGAGCACCAUCUUUGGAGUCUAGCUAACACAGCAUCUUGGAUGCACUCCUAAGAGAAGACUACCUGAAAGGCGUGUACACUGGUCUAGCAGUUGAGAUCAGCUAGUGUUCCAUCUAUCUUCUGUCAUGUCAGGGAAGACUCUCUGAUCCUCUCAUAAUUUACCUAUUGUUGAUUUCCUGAAUCUUUUUAAAUCCUUUGCAACUGAAGAUGGUCUCUCCAUCAGAGAAGCAAUUAACCAAAUGCCUGACUACAGCGUAUAUAGCAUCUGUUAUAAAAGCAUAAAAGGUUAACUUAAAUCCUGGCACACAAAGGAGAUGUCAGACCAGAACAAAUCAGCAUGGAAAUACCUGGAGGAGAUACAAGGUUAAGGUGGAGCAUAUGUACAGUCAAGAGGAUGUUCAUGACUAGUGGAAUGUGUUUUUCAGAUUGCAAAGACUGGAAGAUCUCUUCUAAGAUGUCUUGAUCGACUGACCCCAAAGCCAGAGGGUACCAGGUCAAAAAGCAAGAAAACAAACAAUACUGACAUUAGAGAGAAGCAAAGUUUCUAUAGAAAACCUAUUACACUGUGGUAUAAAUCAAGAUGAACCUGCAGACAUCUAUUUUAGUUUGGAAGUCUGGAAAAGUUCAAGAUUGGCCAUCUGCAGCUGGUGAGAGCCUCAGGCUGCUUCCCCUCAUGGUGGAAGGUGAAGGGGAGCUGGUGUGUGCAGAGAUUACAUGCAAAGGUGCUGCUGGUUACUCUUGGUUCAUCUAGCAAUAGAUGAUCUGAAUGUUAGAGUUCGCCAAAUAUUGUUCCUGGGCAGUCUUUGCUCUACCAAAUCAACUUUCUCCAUGGGGGAGCUAGAAGUCACCCCACAUUCUCCGCCAUGGCCAGCUCUACAUUCUAAGAGAUGACAAAGACACAAGGAGCCAAGACAGAUCAUUCAAGCAUAUUCAUUGCCUCUAUCUUCAUCCCAUUAAAUAACAUCCCGCCAACCAAAGCAAGUUAUCUGCAUAAGAAUAAAUAUUCCACCUACUCUACUGCAAGGCCCUGCAAGAGUCAUGAGACAAAAGAUAUAUAAUUGAGCACUCUGAUGCCAAGGAUGGUGAGUUACUCAUCUUUCUAUUCCAGGCUAUAACUCACAUGAAAAAGAUGAACAUUAAAUACUUACUAAAUUUUA
ensembl:lncRNA LINC02465 long intergenic non-protein coding RNA 2465